AAUUACUUAUAACUAAUUUCAUAACCGAAGGAGCAUCAACGAAAUGAAGUUAAAAGCCAUGUUUUUUAAACAAAAUUUACAAUUAAGUCUUUACACCUUUAUAAAUAGAUAAAUAAUUAUUGUACUAAGUGUGUGGUAAUCAUGAACAGUAUACACUUUAGAUUGUUUUUUAUUUUGCUUAUUCUCCUUCUUUCUGAGAUGAUGGUAGAAACAGAAGGAAGUGUAUGCAGUGAUGAUGAAUGCAAAUUGUUUUGUAUUUAUCAAGGAUUUCUAGAUGGUUUAUGCUUAGUUCCUGGCAAGUGCUUCUGCGUGUCCCAUCGUGUCACUAUUAGAUGAUCAUACAGCCUUACUUCGUUUUCAAUUUCUAUUUGCUUGCUUAAGCUUUGGCUUAGAGCUAGCAGCAAGCAAGCAAUUAUGUUUUCAAUUUCAACUUCUCUUCAUUUUAAAAAAAUCUCUAUUUUAAUAUAAUCUAUUAGCAAAUAAGAAAAU